rnacentral:rRNA from 1 species
GGAUCAUCAGGUAGGUCGUGCCACUGGUAUGUACUUGCCUUGAUGGUUCCUCCCUCUUGAAGAACCGUAAUGUCAUUAAUUUGGUGUUGCGGGGAAUCAGGACUGUUACUUUGAAAAAAUUAGAGUGUUUAAAGCAGGCAAACGCUUGAAUACAUUAGCAUGGAAUAAUGAAAUAGGACGUUCGAUCCUAUUUUGUUGGUUUCUAGGAUUGACGUA